rnacentral:rRNA from 1 species
UUCUUUUUGAUAAUAAAAAGUAGUCUCCUGCCCAGUGAUUUAAACGGCCGCGGUACCCUAACCGUGCAAAGGUAGCAUAAUAAAUUGUCCAUUAAUUGUGGACUAGAAUGAACGGAGGAACGAAAUAAGAACUGUUUCAGUGAGAACCACAUAAACUAAUAUUUGAGUGAAGAAGCUCAAAUAAAAUUAAAGGACAAGAAGACCCUAUAGAGCUUCAUCUCUAACCCAAAAAUGGGAGAAAGAUUGGGUUGGGGCGACCCAGGAUAAUUCAUCCUUACAACUAUAGAUAAACAAAUCACUUAAAAGAUCCUACUUAAGAUCAUUGAAUCAAGCUACCUUAGGGAUAACAGGCUAAUCCUACUAGAGAGUUCAUAUCGACAGUAGGGAUUGGCACCUCGAUGUUGGCUUAGAAUAUCUGUGCGGUGCAGACGCCGCCAUAAGAAGGUUUGUUCAACCUAUAAUAUUC